UACGUAGGUGACAAGCGUUGUCCGGAUUUACUGGCGUAAAGAGCGCGCAGGCGGUCGAUCAAGUCGAGUGUGAAAGCCCCCGGCUCAACUGGGGAGGGUCAUUCGAUACUGAUCGACUCGAAGGCAGGAGAGGGUAGUGGAAUUCCCGGUGUAGUGGUGAAAUGCGUAGAUAUCGGGAGGAACACCAGUGGCGAAGGCGACUACCUGGCCUGUUCUUGACGCUGAGGCGCGAAAGCUAGGGGAGCAAACGGG
rnacentral:rRNA from 1 species